AUUGAACGCUGGCGGCAGGCCUAACACAUGCAAGUCGAACGAGUGGCGGACGGGUGAGUAAUGUAUGGGGAUCUGCCUGAUGGCGGGGGAUAACUACUGGAAACAGUAGCUAAUACCGCAUACCAUCGGAUGUACCCAUAUGGGAUUAGCUAGUAGGUAGGGUAACGGCUUACCUAGGCGACGAUCCCUAGCUGGUCUGAGAGGAUGACCAGCCACACUGGGACUGAGACACGGCCCAGACUCCUACGGGAGGCAGCAGUGGGGAAUAUUGCACAAUGGGCGCAAGCCUGAUGCAGCCAUGCCGCGUGUAUGAAGAAGGCCUUCGGGUUGUAAAGUACUUUCAGCGGGGAGGCGUUACCGACAGAAGAAGCACCGGCUAACUCCGUGCCAGCAGCCGCGGUAAUUC
rnacentral:rRNA from 1 species